GUACGGAAGGCAGCAGGUGGGGAAUAUUGCACAAUGGGCGCAAGCCUGAUGCAGCCAUGCCGCGUGUAUGAAGAAGGCCUUCGGGUUGUAAAGUACUUUCAGUCGUGAGGAAGGUGUUAAGGUUAAUAACCUUAGCAAUUGACGUUAGCGACAGAAGAAGCACCGGCUAACUCCGUGCCAGCAGCCGCGGUAAUACGGAGGGUGCGAGCGUUAAUCGGAAUUACUGGGCGUAAAGGGCACGCAGGCGGUUAAUUAAGUUGGAUGUGAAAUCCCCGGGCUUAACCUGGGAAUGGCAUUCAAGACUGGUUAGCUAGAGUCUUGUAGAGGGGGUAGGAAUUCCAUGUGUAGCGGUGAAAUGCGUAGAGAUGUGGAGGAAUACCGGUGGCGAAGGCGGCCCCUGGCAAAAGACUGACGCUCAUGUGCGAAAGCGUGGGGAGGCAAACAGGAUUAGAUACC
rnacentral:rRNA from 1 species